rnacentral:rRNA from 1 species
AACGAACGCUGGCGGCAUGCCUAACACAUGCAAGUCGAACGAGACCUUCGGGUCUAGUGGCGCACGGGUGCGUAACGCGUGGGAACCUGCCCUUAGGUUCGGAAUAACUCCCCGAAAGGGGUGCUAAUACCGGAUAAUGUCUUCGGACCAAAGAUUUAUCGCCUUUGGAUGGGCCCGCGUUGGAUUAGCUAGUUGGUAGGGUAAAAGCCUACCAAGGCGACGAUCCAUAGCUGGUCUGAGAGGAUGAUCAGCCACACUGGGACUGAGACACGGCCCAGACUCCUACGGGAGGCAGCAGUGGGGAAUAUUGGACAAUGGGCGAAAGCCUGAUCCAGCAAUGCCGCGUGAGUGAUGAAGGCCUUAGGGUUGUCAAGCUCUAUUACCCGGGAUGAUAAUGGCAGUACCGGGAGAAUAAGCUCCGGCUAACUCCGUG